rnacentral:rRNA from 1 species
AGUCACUGACAUUAGAUACCCCGGUAGUCCAGGGUGUAAACGCUGCAGACUUGGUGUUGGAGGCCCUUUGGGGGCAUUCAGUGCCGGAGAGAAGUUGUUAAGUCUGCCGCCUGGGAAGUACGGUCGCAAGGCUGAAACUUAAAGGAAUUGGCGGGGGAGCACCGCAACGGGAGGAGCGUGCGGUUCAAUUGGAUUCAACGCCGAAAAACUCACCAGGAGCGACGGAUAUAUGAAGGUCAAGCUGAUGACUUUACCUGAUUUUCCG